rfam:Triticum aestivum genome assembly, contig: Triticum_aestivum_CS42_TGACv1_scaffold_320392_4BL
AUAAUACUCCCUCCGUCCGGAAUUACUUGUCACCAAAAUGGAUGUGUCUAGAACUAAAAUACAUCUAGAUACAUCCAUUUCAAUGACAAGUAUUUUCGGACGGAGGGAGUAGUAG